GACGAACGCUGGCGGCGUGCUUAACACAUGCAAGUCGAACGGAAAGGCCUCUUUCGGGGGGUACUCGAGUGGCGAACGGGUGAGUAACACGUGAGUAACCUGCCCUUGACUUUGGGAUAACUUCAGGAAACUGGGGCUAAUACCGGAUAGGAGCUCCUGCUGCAUGGUGGGGGUUGGAAAGUUUCGGCGGUGGGGGGUGGACUCGCGGCUUAUCAGCUUGUUGGUGGGGUAGUGGCUUACCAAGGCUUUGACGGGUAGCCGGCCUGAGAGGGUGACCGGCAACAUUGGGACUGAGAUACGGCCCAGACUCCUACGGGAGGCAGCAGUGGGGAAUAUUGCACAAUGGGUGGAAGCCUGAUGCAGCAACGCCGUGUGCGGGAUGACGGCCUUCGGGUUGUAAACCGCUUUCGCUCAUGACGAAGCUUUGUGUGACGGUAGUGGGUAAAGAAGCACCGGCUAACUACGUG
rnacentral:rRNA from 1 species